GAUGAACGCUGGCGGCGUGCCUAAUACAUGCAAGUCGAGCGAACAGACGAGGAGCUUGCUCCUCUGACGUUAGCGGCGGACGGGUGAGUAACACGUGGAUAACCUACCUAUAAGACUGGGAUAACUUCGGGAAACCGGAGCUAAUACCGGAUAAUAUAUUGAACCGCAUGGUUCAAUAGUGAAAGACGGUUUUGCUGUCACUUAUAGAUGGAUCCGCGCCGCAUUAGCUAGUUGGUAAGGUAACGGCUUACCAAGGCAACGAUGCGUAGCCGACCUGAGAGGGUGAUCGGCCACACUAGAACUGAGACACGGUCCAGACUCCUACGGGAGGCAGCAGUAGGGAAUCUUCCGCAAUGGGCGAAAGCUUGACGGAGCAACGCCGCGUGAGUGAUGAAGGUCUUCGGAUCGUAAAACUCUGUUAUUAGGGAAGAACAAAUGUGUAAGUAACUAUGCACGUCUUGACGGUACCUAAUCAGAAAGCCACGGCUAACUACGUG
rnacentral:rRNA from 1 species